rnacentral:misc_RNA from 1 species
UACACCAUCCACCUCCCUCAAACACAAACAAGAAUUUAACCCCCAACACACACAGUUGAAUCAUAAAGCGCAUAAACAACCCCAGCUAAAACAUAGUUAUGCAAAAUAUCUGAAGUGAUUGCUUACAUCUAUUUCCUGUAUAGUUGAAUUGAAUAUCUUAUUCUUGAAUGUUUAUGCUGUACAAUUUUUUCAGCUAAGUUUCUGCUUGGAUGCUUAAAAUAAAAUGGGAUAAAAUGUCAAUUUGCUCCUCAUCUUGACAGUAAAAUUUAAUUAAAAACAAAACAUAAAAUUUGGGUUAAUUAAAUUGUGAAAUUGGUAAAUUAAAUUAAUUUACUCUAAAUUCAGGUCUGUGUAAAAAACGCAGUAAAGUGGUAUUUUAACAUUUUACAAUUUUCUCUCUAAAACUUGUAAAAAGCUACAAAUUGGUCUGUCUCUUUAUGCUCUUUAUAUCUCUACUCUUUCUACCUUCGUCCAUCUCUCUAUGUUCCCUCCCAAAAAACAAUGGUAGAAAACAAAAUUCAUUUGAAAAUUAAAAUAAAAAAUCAUCAAUUUAUUUUUGUCUCUCUCAAUCUCACCUGAAAUUUAAAAAUCAA